rnacentral:rRNA from 2 species
ACUGGGGAACUUGAGUGCAGAAGAGGAGAGUGGAAUUCCACGUGUAGCGGUGAAAUGCGUAGAGAUGUGGAGGAACACCAGUGGCGAAGGCGACUCUCUGGUCUGUAACUGACGCUGAGGCGCGAAAGCGUGGGGAGCGAACAGGAUUAGAUACCCUGGUAGUCCACGCCGUAAACGAUGAGUGCUAAGUGUUAGAGGGUUUCCGCCCUUUAGUGCUGCAGCAAACGCAUUAAGCACUCCGCCUGGGGAGUACGGUCGCAAGACUGAAACUCAAAGGAAUUGACGGGGGCCCGCACAAGCGGUGGAGCAUGUGGUUUAAUUCGAAGCAACGCGAAGAACCUUACCAGGUCUUGACAUCCUCUGACAACCCUAGAGAUAGGGCUUCCCCUUCGGGGGCAGAGUGACAGGUGGUGCAUGGUUGUCGUCAGCUCGUGUCGUGAGAUGUUGGGUUAAGUCCCGCAACGAGCGCAACCCUUGAUCUUAGUUGCCAGCAUUCAGUUGGGCACUCUAAGGUGACUGCCGGUGACAAACCGGAGGAAGGUGGGGAUGACGUCAAAUCAUCAUGCCCCUUAUGACCUGGGCUACACACGUGCUACAAUGGGCAGAACAAAGGGCAGCGAAGCCGCGAGGCUAAGCCAAUCCCACAAAUCUGUUCUCAGUUCGGAUCGCAGUCUGCAACUCGACUGCGUGAAGC